rnacentral:rRNA from 1 species
CCUACGGGAGGCAGCAGUGGGGAAUAUUGCGCAAUGGGGGAAACCCUGACGCAGCAACGCCGCGUGAGUGAGGAAGGACUUCGGUCUGUAAAGCUCUGUUAAUGAGGAAAAAUGGUAGUUGGUCUAAUAGGCCGAUUACUUGAUGGUACUCAUAGAGGAAGCACCGGCUAACUUCGUGCCAGCAGCCGCGGUAAUACGAAGGGUGCAAGCGUUGUUCGGAUUUAUUGGGCGUAAAGCGCGCGUAGGCGGACCUGCAAGUCAGAUGUGAAAUCUCGAGGCUCAACCUCGAAACUGCGUCUGAAACUACAGGUCUAGAAUCUCGGAGGGGGAAGGGGAAUUUCGCAUGUAGGGGUAAAAUCCGUAGAUAUGCGAAGGAACACCAGAGGCGAAGGCGCCUUCCUGGACGAGUAUUGACGCUGAGGCGCGAAAGCGUGGGGAUCAAACAGGAUUAGAUACCCUGGUAGUCCACGCUGUAAACGAUGAACACUAGGUAUUGGAGGAUUUUGACCCCCUUUCUAGUGCGUAGCGUACGACGUUAGUAGUUCCGUCCGUGGAGGUACGGUCGGUCGAGACGUUAAACGUACAAUUAGAAGUUAGAGGCGNGAGAGNGCGACGGACGACGACGAGGGAGGAGG